GAUGAACGCUGACAGAAUGCUUAACACAUGCAAGUCUUUGGCGAAGCUGUGCUUGCACAGCGUAGCCAAGGCGGACGGGGGAGUAACGAGUAGGGAACUUGCCCUGCAGGCAGGGAUAACAGACGGAGAAGACUGAGACGACCAGGGAAAGGCAGCCGGACCCAUGUCCAGGCGGAUGAAAAGAGAUGCUGGAGGAGAGCCUUGCGUCGUAUUAGCUUGUUGGUGGGGUAACGGCGCACCACGGGGAAGAUAGGUAGCCGGCGGGAGGGGGUGGACGGCCACAGGGGGACUGAGAUACGGCCGUCACCCCUGCGGGAGGCAGGUGUGGGGAAUAUUGGACAAUGGGGACAACCCUGAUACCGCCAUUCUGUGCGGAAGAUGAAGGUUUUCGGAUUGUAAAGUGCUUUCAGCAGAGAAGAAGAAAAUGACGGUACCUGCAGAAGAAGCGACGGCUAAAUACGUG
rnacentral:rRNA from 1 species